rnacentral:sRNA from 1 species
GCCGGGCAUGGUGGCACACGCCUGUAAUCCCAGCGGCUCAGGAGGCUGAGGCAGGAGGAUUGUGAAUUCAAAGCCAGCCUCAC